rnacentral:rRNA from 1 species
GCCCUUAGAGUUUGAUCCUGGCUCAGGAUGAACGCUGGCGGCGUGCUUAACACAUGCAAGUCGAGCGGAGAUGUUUAAAAGCUUGCUUUAAAACAUCUUAGCGGCGGACGGGUGAGUAACGUGUGGGUAACCUGCCUUAUACUGUGGAAUAAUCACUUGAAAAGGUGACUAAUACCGCAUGUGGUCUCCGGAGGGCAUCCUCUGGAGAAGAAAGGAUUUAUUCGGUAUAAGAUGGACCCGCAUCUGAUUAGCUAGUUGGUGAGAUAAUAGCCCACCAAGGCAACGAUCAGUAGCCGACCUGAGAGGGUGAUCGGCCACAUUGGGACUGAGACACGGCCCAAACUCCUACGGGAGGCAGCAGUGGGGAAUAUUGCACAAUGGGGGAAACCCUGAUGCAGCAACGCCGCGUGAAGGAAGAAGGGUUUCGGCUCGUAAACUUCUAUCAAUAGGGAUGAAAAAAAUGACAGUACCUAAAUAAGAAGCCCCGGCUAACUACGUGCCAGCAGCCGCGGUAAUACGUAGGGGGCAAGCGUUAUCCGGAAUUACUGGGUGUAAAGGGAGAGUAGGCGGCAUGGUAAGUUAGAUGUGAAAGCCUCGGGCUUAACCUGAGGAUUGCAUUUAAAACUAUCAAGCUAGAGUACAGGAGAGGAAAGCGGAAUUCCUAGUGUAGCGGUGAAAUGCGUAGAUAUUAGGAAGAACACCAGUGGCGAAGGCGGCUUUCUGGACUGAAACUGACGCUGAGGCUCGAAAGCGUGGGGAGCGAACAGGAUUAGAUACCCUGGUAGUCCACGCCGUAAACGAUGAGUGCUAGGUGUCGGGGAGGAAUCCUCGGUGCCGCAGCAAACGCAAUAAGCACUCCACCUGGGGAGUACGAUCGCAAGAUUGAAACUCAAAGGAAUUGACGGGGGCCCGCACAAGCGGUGGAGCAUGUGGUUUAAUUCGAAGCAACGCGAAGAACCUUACCAAGGCUUGACAUCCCGAUGACCGCAUUAGAGAUAAUGCUUUUCUUCGGAACAUCGGUGACAGGUGGUGCAUGGUUGUCGUCAGCUCGUGUCGUGAGAUGUUGGGUUAAGUCCCGCAACGAGCGCAACCCCUAUCUUCAGUAGCCAUCAUUAAGUUGGGCACUCUGGAGAGACUGCCGUGGAUAACACGGAGGAAGGUGGGGAUGACGUCAAAUCAUCAUGCCCCUUAUGUCUUGGGCUACACACGUGCUACAAUGGCUGGUACAGAGGGAAGCAAGAUAGUGAUAUUGAGCAAAUCUCAAAAAACCAGUCCCAGUUCGGAUUGUAGUCUGCAACUCGACUACAUGAAGCUGGAAUCGCUAGUAAUCGCGAAUCAGAAUGUCGCGGUGAAUACGUUCCCGGGCCUUGUACACACCGCCCGUCACACCAUGGGAGUUGGAAGCACCCGAAGUCGAUGACCCAACCGCAAGGAAGGAGUCGCCGAAGGUGAAGCCAGUGACUGGGGUGAAGUCGUAACAAGGUAACCGUAAAGGGC